rnacentral:rRNA from 1 species
UACGGAGGAUGCGAGCGUUAUCCGGAUUUAUUGGGUUUAUAGGGAGCGUAGACGGGAUGUUAAGUCAGCUGUGAAAGUUUGGGGCUCAACCUUAAAAUUGCAGUUGAAACUGGCGUUCUUGAGUGCGGCAGAGGCAGGCGGAAUUCGUGGUGUAGCGGUGAGAUGCUUAGAUAUCACGAAGAACUCCGAUUGCGAAGGCAGCCUGCUGGAGCGUAACUGACGUUGAUGCUCGAAAGUGUGGGUAUCAAACAGGAUUAGAUACCCGUG